rnacentral:rRNA from 1 species
AUACGUAGGGGGCGAGCGUUGUCCGGAAUGAUUGGGCGUAAAGGGCGCGUAGGCGGCCCGGUAAGUCUGGAGUGAAAGUCCUGCUUUUAAGGUGGGAAUUGCUUUGGAUACUGUCGGGCUUGAGUGCAGGAGAGGUAAGUGGAAUUCCCAGUGUAGCGGUGAAAUGCGUAGAGAUUGGGAGGACCACCAGUGGCGAAGGCGACUUACUGGACUGUAACUGACGCUGAGGCGCGAAAGUGUGGGGAGCAAACAGGAUUAGAUACCCUGGUAGUCCACACUGUAAACGAUGAAUGCUAGGUGUAGGGGGUAUCGACCCCUUCUGUGCCGCAGUUAACACAAUAAGCAUUCCGCCUGGGGAGUACGGCCGCAAGGUUGAAACUCAAAUGAAUUGACGGGG